UGGGGUAUAUUGGACAAUGGGCGCAAGCCUGAUCCAGCCAUGCCGCGGGAGUGAUGAAGGCCCUAGGGUUGUAAAGCUCUUUCACCGGUGAAGAUAAUGACGGUAACCGGAGAAGAAGCUCCGGCUAACUUCGUGCCAGCAGCCGCGGUAAUACGAAGGGGGCUAGCGUUGUUCGGACUUACUGGGCGUAAAGCGCACGUAGGCGGACUAUUAAGUCAGGGGUGAGAUCCCGGGGCUCAACCCCGGAACUGCCUUUGAUACUGGUAGUCUUGAUUUAGAGAAAGAUGGGUAGAAGUACGAGUGUAGAGGUGAUAUUCGUGGAUAUUCGGAGGAACACCAGUGGCGAAGGCGGCUCACUGGCUCGAUACUAACGCUGAGGUGCGAAAGCGUGGAGAGCUGACAGG
rnacentral:rRNA from 1 species